GAUGAGGACUCAGAGGCUAUAAAGGAGAGACUCACAGAUGAUGUAGGGGCACCUUAUAGUGAUAUAGGCUGGAAUGGUUGUCCUUUCUUCUCUUCAACCAGAGGUACAACAGAAAUGAAAGCCAGAGAAAACCCUCAAAGCUGCAUGUACACUUACAGAGUACACAGAGCAACUAAAAAGAAAAGGGAAGAGGCAGAAUCAUCACCACUCACCUGCUGAGCUGUGAUCAGAGCUGUCCCUUUAGAAAUCCCUAAGACAGAAGCUUUGCUGCUGUUCAGAAGCAUUUUCCCUGAGAACACAUCAGAUUGCCUAGCAUGGACAUGAAUAAUUGAAGAACACCAUCACGGCAGCAGUCCUCCCAAGGGGCUUUUCCAACACCUUGUUAUCAGCUGAUAUGCUGCCUAGACAACCUCCUGGGAGCUCAGACUGCGAUCCCCUACUACGUCGAAGGGAAGGAAGCAAGCAUGACAGGGCUUAGAUGGCACCGUAAAUUCACUGCUGGACACCAUGGACCUGAUCCAGAGCAAACUGAGGUCAAAAAAAUCAUUCCCAUUGACUCCAACUGCAAACCUGCAUUAUACUGAGUGCACUUUAUUCCCACAGAAAUUAAUGGAAGAAGAUGCUGUUUAGUAUAUCAAAGAACCAUGUAAAGGUGACAGUGUAUUGUUUUAUCUACUGAAAAACAACAGUACAAAGUGACAUCAUUGCAUCACCGACAGUUCUAUCCUCUGACCUUUCCAUAUCUGUUUACCACCAUUUUUUGAAGGUGUCCAGAGAGAGAUGUGGUCAGUGUCCAAAGCAUGUAUUAAGCCCUACUUUUCUACCAGCCUACCAGGGGGGCACAAUAUUUGCAAAUUCAAUAGAAUGAGAAGAGCUGAAUAAUAAGAAAAGACAUGGAGACUACUUGAAAGUAUAGCUCACCUGGGAUGGCAGGUAAAGGUCUGUGGGGCUUAUCUUCAGUCUGAGGCCUGUGAAAUUCUGGGAGUGUGAGAGACUGCUUUGCAGAGGUCUGCAGAAAGGAGCUAAGGAAAGCAGCCAUGCAAAUAUCAUCAAAAUGCUGAAAGAGUUCCCUCUACAAAAGUGUCUGAACUGUGAGUUGUGAAGAUUUCAGAAGUUCCUUAUCUAAUGCUGCCCAUGAACAAAACAAAACAUCAGAAUUUGAGUACAAACACUUUUCAAGCACUGAAUGGGGUGUUAUUAAAAAUAAAAAAUAAUAAUAA